CAUUUAUGAAAUCAGCUAUUUGGUCUUUGGAAAUUGAGUGGGGUUUCCCCCUAUACCUCAAAUCAGCUAUGCAUCCACAGCCCCAGAGCUAAGUGAUAACACCAGGUAUGACUUUUUCUCUCGAGUGGUUCCGCCUGACUCCUACCAAGCCCAAGCCAUGGUGGACAUCGUGACAGCACUGGGAUGGAAUUAUGUGUCAACAUUGGCUUCUGAGGGGAACUAUGGUGAGAGCGGUGUGGAGGCCUUCACUCAGAUCUCGAGGGAGAUUGGUGGUGUUUGCAUUGCUCAGUCACAGAAAAUCCCACGUGAACCAAGACCUGGAGAAUUUGAAAAAAUUAUCAAACGCCUGCUAGAAACACCUAAUGCUCGAGCAGUGAUUAUGUUUGCCAAUGAGGAUGACAUCAGGAGGAUAUUGGAAGCAGCAAAAAAACUAAACCAAAGUGGGCAUUUUCUCUGGAUUGGCUCAGAUAGUUGGGGAUCCAAAAUAGCACCUGUCUAUCAGCAAGAGGAGAUUGCAGAAGGGGCUGUGACAAUUUUGCCCAAACGAGCAUCAAUUGAUGGAUUUGAUCGAUACUUUAGAAGCCGAACUCUUGCCAAUAAUCGAAGAAAUGUGUGGUUCGCAGAAUUUUGGGAGGAGAACUUUGGCUGCAAGUUAGGGUCACACGGGAAAAGGAACAGUCAUAUAAAGAAAUGCACAGGGCUGGAGCGAAUUGCUCGGGAUUCAUCUUAUGAACAGGAAGGGAAGGUCCAAUUUGUAAUUGAUGCAGUAUAUUCCAUGGCUUAUGCCCUGCACAAUAUGCACAAAGAUCUCUGCCCUGGAUACAUUGGCCUUUGUCCACGCAU
rnacentral:sRNA from 1 species